UACGAGAGGUCCAAACGUUAUUCGGAAUCACUGGGCUUACAGAGUUCGUAGGCGGUUCUACAAGUGAGGUGUGAAAGCCCUCGGCUCAACCGAGGAACUGCGCUUCAAACUGUAGAACUAGAGGGAGAUAGAGGUGAGCAGAACUGAUGGUGGAGCGGUGAAUGCGUUGAUAUCAUCAGGAAUACCGGAGGCGAAGGCGGCUCACUGGUCUUUCUGACGCUGAGGAACGAAAGCUAGGGAGCAAACGG
rnacentral:rRNA from 1 species